GCCUUCGGCAUCAUAGUAGCCUCAGGGCACCCUAGCCCAGAAGCUAAGCAGAGUCAGGACUGACUGGGGCUUGGAUGGGGGACCACCUGGAGAGACCAGGAGCUGGAGGCU
rnacentral:rRNA from 1 species